AAGUUAGGUUUUGCUUCUCCAGAGGGCGUAGGUUUCACUUUUCCGAAGUGGCUCAUUUCCGUAAGUGGGAACAUUUUAGGAACGGGAGCCAUUUUAGAAUGUAGGACCAUUGGAGCCAUUUUGUCUGGUAGAGAACUCCACCAUUCCAGACUCUUGUUAUUAUGGAACAGGGGCAAAGGUCUCUCUUUCUGUAGCUGCUUCCUGCUGGCAAAGGGGCGUUGUUGCGAGGGGGAUUUAGAGGGCCACGGUGAGGUUCCGGUAUGGCGAGCUGGUAUCGGUGGCGAGGGGCUGCUUCCGGCCAUGAGAACUCACUGACUGCCUGGUUUGUGAAGGCUCUCCUGCGUUCCUGCAAGGAAUUUUGAAAACAACGGAACAGGCAGGGUCCGAAAAGCAAGAUCAUGCAGAUAAUAGUAAGAGGUCCUAAGAAAGGCCUGGCAUCCCCAUGGAAGGGAAGCAAAACAAAUCUCUUCGAGGAGCAAAUGAAUCAAUUCAUCAUUUCUGGAAGGUGUGGAGUUCUAUAGCUGGCUUGAGGCAGAUGGAACAUAAACCAAUGAUGUCAGUAGAUCUAUCGGCCGUUCGUUAGAACUGUGGACAGACCUGGCAACGGCAGCACCAGAGUGGCGAGGGCCCCAGGAAAUCCAGCCCUGACAGCCCCUAUGCAACCCCAAUCGGCAGGAAAAUCCAGCAGGUGAGGCCAGCAGGGAGAGGCCUCGGGCUGCUGCAUCUCCCUCAAGUCUCCCCCAUGAGCCUGUCGUGAGGGUCAGCCGGCCUGGGAGACACAGAGGAGGGCGGGGUGCAGCCAGAGUUGCCCUUGGCAUCCUCUUUGUGUGUCCAGCCAUGUGAAGGAAGUGCAGACGCCUUACGGGCCCAGGCCCUACACGGUUCGCCCUGCCUCUACCUCCCUCCUCCCACCCUCCACUCUCCCACUGCUUCAGUCAGCCCCAGCUCCUGGUGUCUUUCUCUUCCCCGAAGCACCCAAUCUCCCUGCUGCCCCAAGGCCUUUAAACUCGGCACCCUCUGCCCAGCUCCUCAGUAUCACUCAGGCUCCAGUGUCCCCACCUCAGGGUGGCCCGCUUGUCCAGCAGACCCCACCUGGCUUAAUCUUUAUUUUCUGAAAUUCUUUUGGUUCAUGCGUGCUCUUAGGCAGGGGCUGGGUGGCACCUGAAGGGGGACAGACACCGCCUCU